rnacentral:lncRNA from 1 species
CAGAUUCUUAGUGGACAGCUCUCAUAUCCCCUCCAGGGAAAAUGAUGAAAAAUGUCUUCAGAAAAAUAGCUUUAUGAAGGCAAGAGGACUUUUUGCACCUGCAAGACAUGUCUGAAAGCUCCUCAGGUCAAAACACAAGUAGUCAAGAGAUUUGUCCAUCUAAUUCAUCAUACUACUCUGAUCCAAGUGAGACCCACACUGGGUCAGCUCCAUCAAGGAGAAGAACAUUCCACCCACGUUUGGAUUCUGGAAUAUCAUCCUUGCUUCCAUCAGAUUCUUGUAAGUACCUCACUUGGCACAAGGUAGACAUGACGUUCAAGGAAGUCAACUGCGUUGCCCAAGAGUAAGAGAAGGAAUCUCUGAAGAAGAGCAACUUUUCAGACAGGUAGAGUGUGCCUUGCUCCCAAGGAAAAGAGUUCUUGAAAAAAACAAAUGGGAAACAUGGCUACAAGAAAACUGGGAAGACUGCAAGAAAUUGAUGGCAAAAUAUGGAAAUAAAAAAAUUAAGUUGACUUUUAGGAAUGCAGUUUACAAGAGCAAUGCGACCACUGAGAGUGGUAGCAAUGUAUUUUACACCAAAGUUGCCUGAUAUUAAAAGUGAAAAUAAAAUAUUCAGUAUCUUUGAAGCA